AAUGAAAAAUUGAAUAUCUGUUUCUGCGGAGUAUGGGAAUCCGGUAAAAAGCCGGAACGGCCCCUGCCACCGUGAUCGGGACGAAGCCGCAUCAAGCCACUGUCGAAAGAUGGGAAGGCGCGGCCAAGGAAGACCGAGAGUCGGGAAACCUGCCGCGGAAACAUAUUGAGC
rnacentral:ncRNA from 2 species